rnacentral:rRNA from 1 species
CCUACGGGAGGCAGCAGUGGGGAAUAUUGCACGAAUGGGCGAAAGCCUGAUGCAGCGACGCCGCGUGAGGGAUGACGGCCUUCGGGUUGUAAACCUCUUUCAGCAGGGAAGAAGCGAAAGUGACGGUACCUGCAGAAGAAGCGCCGGCUAACUACGUGCCAGCAGCCGCGGUAAUACGUAGGGCGCAAGCGUUGUCCGGAAUUAUUGGGCGUAAAGAGCUCGUAGGCGGCUUGUCACGUCGGUUGUGAAAGCCCGGGGCUUAACCCCGGGUCUGCAGUCGAUACGGGCAGGCUAGAGUGUGGUAGGGGAGAUCGGAAUUCCUGGUGUAGCGGGUGAAAUGCGCAGAUAUCAGGAGGAACACCGGUGGCGAAGGCGGAUCUCUGGGCCAUUACUGACGCUGAGGAGCGAAAGCGUGGGGAGCGAACAGGAUUAGAUACCCUGGUAGUCCACGCCGUAAACGGUGGGAACUAGGUGUUGGCGACAUUCCACGUCGUCGGUGCCGCAGCUAACGCAUUAAGUUCCCCGCCUGGGAGUCGGCCGCAAGGCUAAAACUCAAAGAGUAGUGACGCGAGAGACGCGACGACGACGACGACGGAGGAGGAG